rnacentral:rRNA from 1 species
UACGGGGGGGGGCAAGCGUUGUCCGGAAUUAUUGGGCGUAAAGAGCUCGUAGGCGGUCUGUCGCGUCUGCUGUGAAAACUCGGGGCUUAACCCCGGGCCUGCAGUGGGUACGGGCAGACUAGAGUGCGGUAGGGGAGACUGGAAUUCCUGGUGUAGCGGUGAAAUGCGCAGAUAUCAGGAGGAACACCGGUGGCGAAGGCGGGUCUCUGGGCCGUAACUGACGCUGGAGGAGCGAAAGCGUGGGGAGCGAACAGG